rnacentral:rRNA from 1 species
GCGGCGGACGGGUGAGUAACACGUGGGCAACCUGCCUAUAAGACUGGGAUAACUUCGGGAAACCGGAGCUAAUACCGGAUACGUUCUUUUCUCGCAUGAGAGAAGAUGGAAAGACGGUUCUGCUGUCACUUAUAGAUGGGCCCGCGGCGCAUUAGCUAGUUGGUGAGGUAAUGGCUCACCAAGGCGACGAUGCGUAGCCGACCUGAGAGGGUGAUCGGCCACACUGGGACUGAGACACGGCCCAGACUCCUACGGGAGGCAGCAGUAGGGAAUCUUCCGCAAUGGACGAAAGUCUGACGGAGCAACGCCGCGUGAACGAAGAAGGCCUUCGGGUCGUAAAGUUCUGUUGUUAGGGAAGAACAAGUACCAGAGUAACUGCUGGUACCUUGACGGUACCUAACCAGAAAGCCACGGCUAACUACGUGCCAGCAGCCGCGGUAAUACGUAGGUGGCAAGCGUUGUCCGGAAUUAUUGGGCGUAAAGCGCGCGCAGGUGGUUCCUUAAGUCUGAUGUGAAAGCCCACGGCUCAACCGUGGAGGGUCAUUGGAAACUGGGGAACUUGAGUGCAGAAGAGGAAAGUGGAAUUCCAAGUGUAGCGGUGAAAUGCGUAGAGAUUUGGAGGAACACCAGUGGCGAAGGCGACUUU